rnacentral:rRNA from 1 species
GCGGUCUGCUUAACACAUGCAAGUCGAACGCAACCUUCGGGUUGAGUGGCGGACGGGUGAGUAACGCGUGAGAAUCUGCCUUGGGGUCGGGGACAACCACUGGAAACGGUGGCUAAUACCGGAUAAGCCUUUGGGUAAAAAAUUUAUUGCCCCAAGAGGAGCUCGCGUCUGAUUAGCUAGUUGGUGAGGUAAAAGCUCACCAAGGCAGCGAUCAGUAGCUGGUCUGAGAGGACGAUCAGCCACACUGGGACUGAGACACGGCCCAGACUCCUACGGGAGGCAGCAGUGGGGAAUAUUUCCGCAAUGGGCGAAAGCCUGACGGAGCAAGACCGCGUGAGGGAGGAAGGCUCUUGGGUUGUAAACCUCUUUUCUCAGGGAAGAAGCUCUGACGGUACCUGAGGAAUCAGCCUCGGCUAACUCCGUGCCAGCAGCCGAGGUAAUACGGAGGAGGCAAGCGUUAUCCGGAAUUAUUGGGCGUAAAGCGUCCGCAGGUGGCGAAUUCAAGUCUGCUGUCAAAAGCACGGGGCUUAAGUCCGUUAAGGGAGUGGAAACUGAAUAGCUAGAGUGACGUAGGGGUAGAGGGAAUUCCC